GUUUCCUGUUGUAGUUUCUCAUAACAGCACUCACUUCAGAGAGACUCACACUAACACACAGAUCAGCAUUAGAGCACUGAGAGCUUAAACACACUACUGACUCCAUCUGAUCACAUUCACAAUGAAGAGAAACCUCCUCAUCAUCCUCAUCAUCACAUCAGGUGUGUUUGGUGCUGAUGAAAUCAGACCAUCAAAAGAUCAGGAGACUGAUGUUUCUGGAAAAGAAGGAAAACCUGUUAUACUGAAAUGCUCUUAUGAAACAAGUAGUCAAUAUGUCUAUCUCUACUGGUACAGACAGUAUCCUAACAGAGCUCUACAGUAUCUACUGCUGAGAGGUGCUCGUCAGCGGAGUGGCAGUAAUAUUGCCGACCGCAGAUUUUCAUCAACUACAUCCAGCUCUUCCACUGAGCUCACUCUUAGAGAACCAAGACUGUCAGAUACAGCUCUCUACUACUGUGCUCUUAGAGAUGAUAGAGCCCAGUGA